rnacentral:rRNA from 1 species
UAACCUGCCCAAGAGAUCGGGAUAACACCUGGAAACAGAUGCUAAUACCGGAUAACAACAGAUGAUGCCUAUCAACUGUUUAAAAGAUGGUUCUGCUAUCACUCUUGGAUGGACCUGCGGUGCAUUAGCUAGUUGGUAGGGUAACGGCCUACCAAGGCGAUGAUGCAUAGCCGAGUUGAGAGACUGAUCGGCCACAUUGGGACUGAGACACGGCCCAAACUCCUACGGGAGGCAGCAGUAG